AUUUUCUAGUAGUUCCAUUAGCAUGAUACUUCACAUAAACACUCUACCACUCUGAACAUUUUGGGAGUGUAAAUAAUUUUACCACUGUAAUCUUGAUUGACAAAUCUCACAUGUUUCCUGUAUGGCCAUGAGUCAGUACAUUUCAAUCAAAGUUGUUGUGUAUCUUGACAUGGGAGGCACUUAGCACAUCUUCCUUGUGUUUACUGCCACCACAUUCUGAAACAUGAUAAUGGCCAUUUGAAUCAAUCCUGGGUGCAGGCGUGGGGCAUGAACCACAGCAUUCCUUCAUGCUGCCACACAGUUCCUGAUAUGCAUCAACAAUCCAUAUCUGAACAUGGGCAAACUUGUUUUGAAGAAGGGCAUAAUUGAUUGCCUUGUUCUAUCAUGGUUGUAAAUCCUUGUAAAUUUUUUUUAUACUCUAGAUUUCUUUCACCUGGUGUCAAUAAAAUUGAUAAAAUCUUCAUUUGAGAGUUAUAAAGACCUAGACGAUACAAGUAUGAAAAGGACAAGGAAAGACAAAUCUCAGGACCAGGAAUCAGCCCCCUCCUUUUUUGCAGAGCUCAAACAGGAGGGAUAUGAAAUGGCCUUAUUCCAGUACUCCCCUGGCAAGUCAAUACAACCAAUUUGAGCCCUGGCAAGGUGAUCGUGCCCACACCAGCUGACACAGCCUGGAUGGAUUUCCCAUGAGGAAAACAGGCAAAGGGCAGAGGAGAACAGGAUCCCUAUCCCUCCAUUCCCUCUGUUCUUCUCAAAGGGACACAACAGCUGCUGGGCUUCCCACUGUGGCUGCAGGUGGGUGACAGCUGUCAGAAGAGUCCCCAGUGGGUUCCUGAUCUCCAGGGAUUGGGAAGGAGUCUGAGUUUCAGUCUUCACAACUCUGAUUUGACAACUGAGUUCAGGAACAAAUAGGAAACUCCACUGUUCAGCCCAUGAUGCUGUCAGUGAACUUGGGUUUUGGAAGCUGGGGAGCUAAGAGGGAAUAAAAAAAUGGAAACACUAAUUGAUUUUAGGUGU
rnacentral:lncRNA from 1 species